AACGCACAUUGCGCCUCCUGGUAUUCCGGGAGGCAUGCCUGUUCGAGCGUCAUUAGAAGCAUACUCAAGCAUUGCUGCUUGGUCGUGGAGGAAGAUAGUUACUGUCCCCUCUGGAAUCUCUCAGUAGACAACCUCCGUGAGCGUAGAUGUAAUAUAAUUGUGUAUUCGUUUAUGGACUCAUGGGUCCUUCGUGCUGUGUAGAGCUCCCCCCGGCAAGUACGUAGUACUUCAAAGCUUGACCUCGGAUCAGGUAGGGAUACCCGCUGAACUUAA
rnacentral:misc_RNA from 1 species